GUCGGCCAGGAACCUCGGCCCCAUGCGGGCGGGCCAGCGCGGCCAGGAGGGCCGGGAAGAGGGGUCCCCGGGGCCCCGGAUGCGCUGAACUCCGGGGAGGGGAUGGGCAGGAGAGAGAGCACACUCCUGGAGCCGCGACGUCCAAACCCGGACGCACUUGAACCCGCAGCGAGGCCCGUGGCUCGCGGCCUUCGGAGAGCACCCGCGCCCCGCGCAGACCGGACGCCGGCCUUGCCCGAUCCUCGGCAUCCUUCGGCGGGGCGAUACGUGAUCAUUUAACACACGGGUGUUAAGUUCAUUCUUGCUGCAAAAGAAGGCCAUUGUACCUCCUGACCCUGAAAGCAAGGGACACUGGAUUUUGUGGAUGCUCCUUGGACACACUGGAAUGCACCUUGGGCAGCCCGUGGAUCAUUUUCCCCAGUAUGAAGCAUGGGAGGAGCUGGAAAAUGAACUCAUGAGCCAGUUGAGCCAGCACAACAAGCUGGAGCCAGGAUAUGCAGCUGGGAGCGAGUGUCCAGCCAACAGCCCGUGUCUCAGGCCCUGCCAGGGGAUGAAUCAAUUAGCAAGAGAAGCAAUGAUGCAAAUGCUCCGGGGUCACUUGGGAUGCUGUUUGCCUUUUUGAUAGAGAAAGCACACCAUAAAUAACAUCACACCUCAGGAAAUCAUUCCAGGAGGCCCCGAUGCUGGCAGGGCUGCUGCCAGGGACGGAAGGAAUCGUUUGCUCAUUGUGUGUAUUUCCCCCAGCUCAGUCAAUGGGAGAUUUGUAGUAAAAUCAAAGUAUUUAAAAGGAGGACAGUAUGUGGUAACAGAGGCAUGUUUAGCAAUUUUUUUAGUACCAGAACCUGUGAUUUAUGACCCAGAGUUACAGCCAACUUUAUUACAAAAAUGACUUCACCCAUAAUAACCUUAUUCAGGGCCCUCUGAUGAAUGAUGUAGUAUCCAACAGCAUUAUAAUCUAGUAAAUAUUCAAACACAA
rnacentral:lncRNA from 1 species